UCCAAAUGGCCUUUCAAACAAGAAAACCCUUCAAGGAAAAAUGGGCACACAUCCCCUUCCAGGCACCUUGCCAAAAUCUCCCAAGCACCCUACCUGGCAUCCUAGCUUAAGUUUCUUCAAGAAGCUGGGGAGAGCCGCGGAGGCGCCUGGCUGAGGGGCAAGCGAGGCGGCCGGGCCGAGCGAAGCCCAGCCAGCUGAGCACCCACUGUAGAGCACCCAUCUAGUUUGUGCCCAUGAGGAGAGUAGUAGAGAGCAACCCUGACCUGGUGAAAAUUAGAAAUACUGCAAUGCAAAGCAUACUGCAGCACCUCUUGAAAGGGAAUUGCCAGAAUUUAAUUGCAUCCUCCUCUUCUUAAACAAGUUCAAAAUAGGCUUUCAUACCUAGAGGCGAUUUUUUGGUUAUUGGGAAAUGACACAGUAGAUGCCCUGCGAGCUAGCUUUCCCCACACUCAUAAGAAAAAAGGUCAAUGGACAGAGGUAUGUAUUUAUCAAGACACAGGGACAUUGGAAAGCUGUCAGGAACCAUGACUGCAAGCAUCAGAUCAUUCACCUUUCCCCUUGCUCAAGACUGGCCACGAAGAGGACAUACAGAUGGAUUUUUGUUUUCUUGUUUUUCAAAGGGAGUGGAUUUGCCUAAAAAAAGAUUUUGUGCUUUUAGCCAUCAGACCCUCAUCAUUGCAGUGACUGCCUGGUGGAUCUGCCUCCUGGAGUGGCAUCCUCAUGGACAAAUCCCCCAGCCCAGACUGGUCCCCUGUGCUUUCCCCAUGCCCUUGGCUCCCAGUGGCACUGGUGCACCAAGGCGAUGUCUCUGGGGCUCUGCAGAGGGGGCAGAGGGAGCUCUGCCCCCAGCACAUUCUGCUCCCCAGAAGGCAAGCUGGUGACUGCAGGGGACAGAAACAGCUGUCUAAAACUGCCAGCCCUGCCAGGCUGAUGGCAAAGGAACUGCAUCAAAUAAGGGAAAGUGACUCCUUGAUAUGUUACGUUUUUAAAAUGGCCUGUGAUGUUGCAUGAUAAGUUGUUUUAGAGCUUGUAGGUCAUUAGCUCAGUGGAUCUGAAAAAACAAUAUCUGAAGACAGACUUCUAAAGGAUACACUUUAAAUAGCUUAUUCUGUGAGAAUGGAAAAACAUCAAACCAAAGUAUUGCAGAAGACUGAUUCCUGUCCCUUUCGCACUGCAGAAGUGUCAGUGUGCAAGAUGGAAGCUCAGGCCCAGUGGGACAGUAAAUAUUUUGAAUCUGUGUUUUUUUGCAAGAUGGAAGAAAACAAAGCAGCUGCCCACAAAGUUUCAUCUUGCUCUGAGUCCCAUGGCAACUCCACCAAUGAAGAGGAGAGAUGACUUUGGCCCAUUGCUUGGCAGUACCUUGAAAAGUAUACUUAGAGGGUAUAAGUCAUCUACUUGGUCUAAAUACUAAUGAAAUUUAGCCACCUUAUAUAUUUUUUCACUUGCUUUCUUUUUUCCUUCUAAAUUUAAAAGGAGCUUUGAUUUUGUUAGCAUUUGCAUUCAAUAUUUGUCCUCCAUUAAGAUGGUAUUGAUAUAAUUUGGCAUGCAUGUUGUUCUAAAGUCACUGAAAACAGUGGUAAAAAGCACUGAAGAACAUUGUUUGCCAUGGAUCUGAAAAUUUAUAAACAUUAAUAUAUUUGUUUAAUAUAAGAAAAUGAAUAUGCAGAACACAUUUUGUUGCACAGUUCUGAAAUUUGUCUCUUUGUCUAAAGCCAAUGUAAAAAGUACAUGGGUUUUAAGCUAUGUAAAGUUUAAACUAUCCAGCAUCUUUGUCACCUAUUCCAUGUCAAGUGGGUAUAGAAUGUAGUGAUUGUGAUAAGGAGGCUUUUCACAUCCAUUUCUACCAGUAGUAACCCAAGACGCAGAGGGGGGUGAAGAACAAGGGUCAUAUUUAUAAUCUGGAAUGCUGCAAAAUGUAUCUCUUCAAGUUUUCAGCUGAACUGAGAUAUUUAUCUUAACAAGAUCUAAUUAGACCUAAUUUCCAUAGCAUAUCAAUUAUUUUCCUCAUUAGAGUAGCUAAUGCCAUGUUCAGAUAUCAUGGCAAUCAAGCUUGCGAUUUCUGGAAAAACUGGUUAGAAGGCUUAGUAUUAAGUGUGUUUCCAACUGUGAAAUUUAUCCUUCUGAGCAAUGCCUCCCAGUUUACUCACUUUGUUCCAGGAUUCUCUGCAGCAUAUGGCCACUGGAACCCAUUAAAUAACACAAAGUAAGACAGGCAGCGAUGAGUCAAAAAUAGCUGCACUAGUGAAUCGCCUUUCAAAAUUCUGUCUCUAACAAGAAAAAUAAUGAAGAAUAAGACAUGCAAUUAGAAGAAAUUAAGGUCAAUUUUCAAGCCGGGUUGCCUACAUGGUGGUUUCAAAAUCCAUGUUAGGCACCUCAAAUAAAAGCAGCCUGAUUGAACACCUGCAGCUCUUGGCAAUGCACUCGUGUAUAUAAGGCAGCCAGGCAAUUCUUGAUCUCAGAGUCUCUACAUCUUGAUUUUAUUUUCCCCAGUUCCUAAACAUCCUAAAACUCUGGGUUCUAAUCACUAGGUUUAACAUGUUCCUUUUUCCUCCUAAGGAAGAAACCCAGUGCUUCCAGUGCAGGGCCAUAUGUGUGCCAUAUACUUGUUGGACAAGUCCCAUUGGCUCAGCGUGAGAGUGAAGGCACUUUUUUCAUUACAGGAGCUUGUUGCAUUGUAUUUGGCCAAAUGCGUUGUCACAAUAUACUUGGAUUCCUUGCAGCCAGCCUGAGUCAUCUACAAGUUUGGUGUCUGCUCUAAGGUUUUUUCUAGAGGUUUUGUUACAGAGGUCAGUAUAUCUACAAGGAGAUUUAUCUUCUUGAGUGGCUGCCUGAGGCAUGGAGAUUAUUUAUUCCUUGGAGACACCCAGAUCCCACAGCUGAAGCACCUUCUUCCUAGGGAGUUACAACAGUCAAACUGAAUCUCACCUCAGCAUUUUCAGGGCUGGUGUCUCCUAUCCCAGAUGAGACACACAGCAUUUUGCUAAUAUGUAAAGCAGAGGUUUACAUAUUAGCUGCCAUAAGAAUAUUACACUAGCAGUGGAUCUGAGCUCAGUGUAUGGUUGUACUGACAUACUGCAUGGCUAAGGGCAGUUUCCAUUCACAGCUACACCCUAACCAAACAUUUAUUUAUUUCUUCUCAUUUAAAAUACAUGUAGUGCUCUCAAUGGGUGCACCUUGAAUAAGGCACAGGAAACAUGCAAGUUUCUGAAUAAAGGGAAUUUUUUGUUUGAUGCAUUUUCAUAGAGUCACAGAAUGGUUUUGAAGCUUUUUAGUUAUUAUUAUUUGGUUAUGUUUGUAUCCAACUCCCUUUAUUAGCAAAUAAAAAGAUGCUUUAUCUGGCUGUCCAAAUGAUAUAUUCAAACAAAGUAUACCAGAAAACAAGCAACUGUGCUCUUAUGACCUGUGUUAUGAAGAAUUAAAAGUUACCUAAAGGUUCAGAGAAGGUACAUGCUGUAUUUGUCCCCUUAUACCUAAGCAUGUCUAUGAAUUUAAUGGGCAUAUUCAGGUAUUGUGCAGAUAGGAAUCCAGCCACAUUUCUCCUAAUUGAUUUGAAAUUAUAUGGACAGUAACGGUGCCAGAAGACAAAUUAGUUUGCUCUUUCAUACUGAGCUGAAGUUGUUUGGUUUUCUUAAAAGAAAUAAAACUGAUAAUUGUCACUACAGUAAGUAAAUAUGUCUGAAUACAUGCAGAAAGCAGAUCUAUUGGGUAAGAAGGUUACAGAAUCUCAUUUUGUGGUCCAUCUGCUCCCUCUUUGCUUCCCAAGCCAACAGACACUAAUCUGGGAUGAAGAAACUGACAGGACAUGGGGGAGGAGUAGACGGUCAUGAUUCCUACACGUUUCAGCUUUUUGAUAUAUGUGCUCAUGCCAUUGUGAUAUAAUAGAAGGAAAAUAACGCAGUGGAGUCAGGAGGACAAUUCCAACAAUUAUGCAUUGCAGCAGCAUUUUACCGCUCAAGAUUUUCUCACAUAUUCAGUGCAAUUUACAUGUUUUACCACUGCGAUCUGAACACACAAAAUUAAUGUUCAGUGGGGGAAAAGAUGCAUUGCUGGAAAAGAUUGUUAAGCAGAUCAUAAGCUGAAAUAAACGUUAAAUAAUCAGAGUGAGUUAAGAAAAGUGGCCAGGGUACUCCUGCUGGAUUUUUUCUCUAAUUUGCAUCUGCAUUGAUGGUCUUGGAGAAAAUGUGAACAUCCUCCUAGUAAAAAUUUCUAGUGGCCGUAGCAUGAAAUAAAAGAGGAAAUAAAAAGGUUCAAGAGGAUGAGAAUUAAAUAAAGAAGAGGUAGGGAUAAAAUCAAAAUUCAAAGCCACAGACCAUGAGUGCAAAAGACAAAGCUGAAGUGGCAGUGUGGCUAAUGAGGGAUGAGAAUGAGAGAGGGAUGUGCUAUACGACUGUGCAGUAAUCAAAAAAAGGGCCAAUGGAGCUGUAUCAUGUCAUCUCCAGCUCUUCACAGCUCAGCAACAACAGCACUGCCAGUUUUUACUUCUAAUUCUGGUCACUUUGUCAUCAGAAAGACCAUAAUGAGUGGAAAUAAGUUUCUAUGGAAGCAAAGUGGAAAAAAAGAGAUUAAAAGAGAUAAAUAUGUCUUGUUUGGUUUAACUAUAAUCAAGACGCAAGAUGUACAAAUAAUUCAAGUGUUUGAACACUUCACUAAAAGCGGUAAGUUCUUGAACAUAAUAAAAGAGAAUCAUCACUAGCAUUUUGGAUAAGAACUAUGAAGUUACAAAAACCAAAGCUGUUGUCAGCGGGGAAGUGUGCCUAAUGAUUAAAGCACCUAAUCCAAGAUUUAAAAAUAAUUUUGACCACAUGAUGUGAAGCACUGAUGCAACAUAAGGUCCCUCUGCCAGGUGAAGGUUGUUCAAAAUUUCUAAAAGGGCAACUUUGGCCCAGAUCAGAGGCUGUGGGUGUGCACAAAAAUGACUGGACUUCCCUCAGCUAACCAUGGAUUUCUCAUGGAUUCCUUCUCAUUCCCCUUCUGUUCCCACCCUUCCAAAGCCACCUGGCUGUCCCUUGGAUGUGGUUACCUUCCCUUAUGUGCAGGACCAUGAUGAUUCAUGAGGAGAGUGGCUUAACUUUGAUGCGUGAGCCAAGAUGCACAUUUGUCAGCCUAGAAUAGCAUGGAUCCAAGUCACAUCCUCCAGUCUGUGCGAUGCCUUCAAAUGGCCAGAGUCAUCACCAAAAAGUCAGCGUAAGCUCUAUCUACUCACUCUCUUGUGUUUUGGAAGCUGCUCUUGAUGCAUUCAUCUUUCACAGAGGCUGUCAAAAAUUCUCUGUGUCCAGGAGCAGACACAGGGCUUAAAUUUUCCAUGGCUUAAGGACUUUCUCCUUACAGACUUACUCACUAGGAUUAAUGGCUAUGAAUUACAUGAUAUUGAUUUUGUGAGAGCCAGGAAUUUUACACAGCAAAGCCUACACAUAAUUACAGAUCUUCCUCUGAACUUCAUCUAAUGCUUCAGGAUUCAUAAAAAUCAAACUUGAACUUGAGAUAACAAAAGAGAUCCUCUGCACAGCAAGCUUUUCCAGACCAACCUGCCCAGAACUCUUCUCUCAUGGUUUAAUGUACUGCAGGCACAGUAUGCAAUCACGGAAUAAGGAUAUGCUUGGCAUGAGCUAAGAUGCGCGUUCGUCAGCCUAGAAUAGCAUGGGUCCAAGUCACAUCCUCUGGCCUGUGUGAUGCCUUCAUAUGGUCACAGUCAUCACCAAAAAGUCAGUUUAAGCUCUUUCUCCUCACUGUCUUGUAUUUUGGAAGCGGGUCUUAAUGCAUUCGUCUUUCAGAGAGGCUGUAAAAAAGUAUCUGUUCCCAGGAGUAGGAAGAAAACAACUUCCUCCUUCUACCUACACCGGAUGAGAGAUCCUUGGAAGGAGUGGCAGGCCCUUUGUGAUUAAUAGUCCUUGACUGGAUUAUUUCAUGAAUAUACUCUUGCUUUUUGACUGAUGCUCAUUGCCACACUAUCAAAAGGAAAAUGAUUCUCACUAUUCAUUGUGUGAAACAGAGCUGCUUUUUGAUUUGCUUGGAACAUGCCACUUGGUAAUUUUUCUUGUUUGAAGCAUCUUGGCAUCCGCAGCCAAAGGCAGACAACUCAAGGACACAGCUGGUCUUACAGGCUCUAGAGAAACCCUGGGAACAAAACCAGGGCUGCAGAGUUGAGAGAAGACUCCACAGAGUGAACGUGCAAAAUCAGACUUGGCAGAGAAAGCCACCACAAAUGUGGAGCAUAGCCAGGCUUCAGUGAGUGCCUCAGUGGAAAACGAAAGGGCCUUUGUCCAGAGCAUGACUAGCAGAGGUCAGCUAAUGAAUAAUACAGUAACAACACGUUCUCUGCAUCUAAAUCCCAUGUCCAACCUUUAGAUCCCAUCUCUUGAUGCAGCUGGAAAGCCAAUGCAAGUGAGGAGUACUUUGACAACCCAUGUGUCUAUCACCUGUGGGAAGAGAGGGCCAACAGCUCUGCUGGCUUUCACUUUGCAGUCAUGAAUGUUUGGCAGUGUAGCAGAAAAAGCUGCGCAAUCACCAGCUUCCAGGUGGCCAUAGCAGUGGUUUUGUUCCCUCUUUGCAAGGGAGUUCAUCAGCUAUCUAUGUGGUCCUUCUCAUCCUGCAGCUCUCACACUGCUGCUAAAUCUUCACUGUGGCUGCUGGACCCCCUGCCUCUCCCUCUCCUGCAGGACGGACAUUGGAGUGCUCUGUAAUUCCAGAUCCACCUGCUCUGUAAUUCCAGAUCCACCUGCAUCCUGGCUCUCCCUGUGCAUGGCCUGGAUGGCACAGGAGAUGGUACUGGUGGCUGGAGACUCCAAGCACAGCUCUGAUCCCCUUUAUAGGGUCUUUGUUUUCUCCCAGCACAUGCUUCUGUAUUGUGUGAGCUGCUGAAAAUCAAACAGCAUCCUGGAAAUGGCACAGUUUCCACGGCAGGUUAUCUGAUAUGGUGACCAGUGCCCCACACUCUGCAGGGAUGGGGGGGGAAAGGCAAAUGCAGCAGGGCAAGGGAUACUGUGCCCCAGACCUAUGUCCAAAAAGAAGCGAGCCAGACCAGCCAAAAUUACAUAGAUGGGCAGGUUGAUGCAGCUAAGUAAUCCAUCCCAACUGAGCAGACCUACCUUGACCUGCUGCCAACCAUACAUGUAAGAGAAACCACUUGUUGCUGUAAAACACACCCUGAACACAGUUAUAAACAGAAUUAACAUGAAAACAUGGAUGUUUGGAUGAAUGAAUUAAAAGCAAUGACAAUUUUGAUUGGUUCAUAAAACAUGCAGUUAAUUUUUUUCUGCAGAUAAAUCAAAACACACAAUUUUUAAAGGAGAACCCAAUUCACCCUAUAUGCUUUAGGUUCAAUAUAUUUAGCAAAAGCCAAAUUAAAGAGAUUGAAAGGAAUCUUUGCACGAGUGUUGAAGAAGAAUCCAGCUCCCCUUGAUUGCAGAUCGUGCAGGGGCUAGUGCUGUCCUCUGUCUGGCAGCAGACUCCCACCCUUUCCACCAAAAUAACUUGCUUACUAAUAAUGUCUCUUUCUCUGAAAGGUGUAAAUGGGCCCUUGUUCAAGCUCAUCACAGAUUCAGCUAUAUUCUUUUAUCUCCAGUAAUCUGGACAUUUUUUUCCCCUGCAGAUAGUUUCUGUGUUCCAUUCGCUGCUAUUUGCUAGAGAAAGACUCUUGGGCUUUUUGCCCUUUGUAUUUCCUCUCUUCUUUCAUGUGGAGAAGACUGCCAACGUGGGAUUUGCAAACUGCUGCCAAUAUGGGAUUUGUGCUGCUGCGGCUGCCAAUCUUUAAUUUAGCAUAUGUAUAAAGCUAAUUUUUGGACACGAUGCUAGUGCCUGGCAUCUCUGCAGGAGUCAGCCAGGUUGUAAUGUUUGUAUUGUACUGCACUAUAAAAAAACAAUAAAAAGAAAAUAUAAAGGAAAAAGCCUUUUAUCUCUAGCUUU